rnacentral:rRNA from 1 species
GACGAACGCUGGCGGCGUGCCUAACACAUGCAAGUCGAACGGGGUUGUUCCUUCGGGGACAACUUAGUGGCGAACGGGUGAGUAACGCGUGAGGAACCUACCUCUCAGUGGGGGACAACAGUUGGAAACGAUUGCUAAUACCGCAUAAUGUUUUCGGACCGCAUGAUCUGAAAACCAAAGAUUUAUUGCUGAGAGAUGGCCUCGCGUCUGAUUAGCUAGUUGGUGGGGUAACGGCCCACCAAGGCGACGAUCAGUAGCCGGUCUGAGAGGAUGAACGGCCACAUUGGGACUGAGAUACGGCCCAGACUCCUACGGGAGGCAGCAGUGGGGAAUAUUGGGCAAUGGGGGAAACCCUGACCCAGCAACGCCGCGUGAAGGAAGAAGGCCUUCGGGUUGUAAACUUCUUUUACCAGGGACGAAGAACGUGACGGUACCUGGAGAAAAAGCAACGGCUAACUACGUGCCAGCCGCCGCAGUAACAC